rnacentral:rRNA from 1 species
AUUGAACGCUGGCGGCAGGCUUAACACAUGCAAGUCGAGCGGAGAUGAGGUGCUUGCACCUCAUCUUAGCGGCGGACGGGUGAGUAAUGCUUAGGAAUCUGCCUAUUAGUGGGGGACAACAUUCCGAAAGGAAUGCUAAUACCGCAUACGUCCUACGGGAGAAAGCGGGGGAUCUUCGGACAUUGCGCUAAUAGAUGAGCCUAAGUCGGAGUAGCUAGGUGGUGGGGUAAAGGCCUACCAAGGAGACGAUCUGUAGCGGGUCUGAGAGGAUGAUCCGCCACACUGGGACUGAGACACGGCCCAGACUCCUACGGGAGGCAGCAGUGGGGAAUAUUGGACAAUGGGGGGAACCCUGAUCCAGCCAUGCCGCGUGUGUGAAGAAGGCCUUAUGGUUGUAAAGCACUUUAAGCGAGGAGGAGGCUACUGAGACUAAUACUCUUGGAUAGUGGACGUUACUCGCAGAAUAAGCACCGGCUAACUCUGUGCCAGCAGCCGCCGUAAGAC